CUACGGGGGGCAGCAGUGGGGAAUAUUGCACAAUGGGCGCAAGCCUGAUGCAGCCAUGCCGCGUGUAUGAAGAAGGCCUUCGGGUUGUAAAGUACUUUCAGCGGGGAGGAAGGGAGUAAAGUUAAUACCUUUGCUCAUUGACGUUACCCGCAGAAGAAGCACCGGCUAACUCCGUGCCAGCAGCCGCGGUAAUACGGAGGGUGCAAGCGUUAAUCGGAAUUACUGGGCGUAAAGCGCACGCAGGCGGUUUGUUAAGUCAGAUGUGAAAUCCCCGGGCUCAACCUGGGAACUGCAUCUGAUACUGGAAAGCUAGAGUCUCGUAGAGGAGGGUAGAAUUCCAGGUGUAGCGGUGAAAUGCGUAGAGAUCUGGAGGAAUACCGGUGGCGAAGGCGGCCCCCUGGACGAAGACUGACGCUCAGGCGCGAAAGCGUGGGGAGCAAACAGGAUUAGAUACCCCGGUAGUC
rnacentral:rRNA from 1 species